ACAUACACGUGGAGUUUAUUAAUUUAUUCAUGAGUAUCUCAUACAUUUUUUUUUCAUAUUUCGUACAGCACUAAAGGUGAUUUCUAGAAAGUCAAUAUAAUAACCAAUACAGUUUCUUGUUUCAGGUUUGAUUAAAUCAUAACAAUAAUAAUUAAAUUAUUACAAUUUACACUUUUUAAUGUCUUAAUGCUGUAUUGUAUAUUUCACAUGACUUGACUUUAUGUUUAAAUCAGUAUUUGUCUUUUGACUAAGUAUGCGUUUGGAUUUUUGUCAAUUGGAUGCAUAUUCCAGAUAUCAUAUUAUUCAUAUAACUAUAUCUUGUACAUUGUCAUUAUUAUUUUAACUCUAUUGAUAUGAAACAAUAACUAUCAUUUGUUCAUAUAUAAAUAUCAAAUUAAAAAUCAUAAUUAUACUUAUUUCAACUUUGAGUACGUUUGCAAAACAGGAAACGGAUAUCUUUUGCUCAUGAUUGAGCACCAGUUUAUUAUGUUGUGUCAAUAAUAAUGAUUUUAAAACAGUCUUUGUUAAACAAAUGACGCGUGAAAUAUUAUUUGCCUCUAUUUUUGGCUUCGUGCUUUUCCUCAAAUAUAUAUUAUAACUAACAUAAUACAGGCUUUACGUGUAUGUGUACUGUAUUAAACAAAUUAUAUUUACAAUAAUAUAUUUCUUUUUACACAUGCUUUUCGUUCGUAUAGUUAACUAAGCUAUUUCAUCUGAUUCAUGCCAUACAUUUUGUGCUCUUUUUCUAGACAUUUUAAUAUGAUGAAAUUUCACUUUUUCAUGUUGAAAAAUACAAUAAUUUGCAGGCUAACACCAAGUUCAAAUUAUUUAUAGAGAUAUUAGUGAAUGCCUUGUGAAAAGAAAGACUUUCUUAGAAUUGAAAAAUACAUUGCAUGUAAAUUGUGGGAAGUGCAACAGGAACAGGAUGAGUUAAAAAAAUAAAAGAAAUAAUUGAGUAUACAAAUCAUAUGCUGUGUAAUGAUAUUUAUCUACCUAAGAUAUGUUUGUGUUUUAAUAGCAAACAGAUCGCAUUCUGAUAUAUAUAAUCAAUUCAGGUCAUUUAAAAAGUUUCAGAAAAUAGGAAAACAUGAGCUGAUCUCACAUAUUUAAUAGAGAUAAUUUCAUAAUUUAAGAUUGACAUUUUCAUUAACCUUUUUCUUUGUUUUUUUAUUAUCAUUCAUAGUAAUUUACUAUUUUUUUUUUAUUUUGGUUCUGCUAUAUAACAACCGCCAAUUGGUCAACGACAAUCUCCAUUCUAAUAUGGGACAGACACACAAAAUUAUCAUAAUGAUAGUAAUCCUGCACGUUUGUAAUCCGACUUGGCAAUGGGACGUGCGGUAGUUGUUCCAGAAAAACUGAAAAUAUUAAAACUACAGCUUAAAUAAUCUUUGAUGUGUGCUGUGUACAAAUUGUAUUCAAAAUGAACGGACUACACCAGCGUUAUCAUCAACAGAUUAUUAUCAGCAGAGACUAAUUGGAAUUUCAACCUAGUUGCUCAUCAGAUUACAUACCAAAGAAAUGUUAAUAAGCCAAAUAUAGUCUAAAAAAAUACUAACCUUAAUGACUGUUAAUUCUGUCAAAAUAGUUGACAAGUUGGAUAACGAGUUAUUCAACAGUUGUCAGAAGAAGACACUUGCUGUAAAUGUACAUUUACUAGACGUAUGUUUUGCGUAAUAUUUCAUUCUACGUUUUUUAUAUUUU